UCCGGUUUAACACCGGCAGUCGCGUUAGACAUGGUAACUAACGCCGAGGGUUGCGCUCGUUGCGGGACUUAACCCAACACCUCACGGCACGAGCUGACGACAGCCAUGCACCACCUGUGAUCUUGCCCCGAAGGGAGACUCUGUUUCCAGAGCUGUCAAGAACAUGUCAAGCCCAGGUAAGGUUCUUCGCGUUGCGUCGAAUUAAACCACAUACUCCACCGCUUGUGCGGGCCCCCGUCAAUUCCUUUGAGUUUCAGUCUUGCGACCGUACUCCCCAGGCGGCGAACUUAACGCGUUAGCUUCGAUACUGGGCACCAAGUUGUGCCCAACAUCCAGUUCGCAUCGUUUAGGGCGUGGACUAC
rnacentral:misc_RNA from 1 species